rnacentral:tRNA from 1 species
GUCCGGGUAGCUCAGUUGGUUAGAGCGUCAGCCCAAUACAUCAAGGUUGUGGGUUCGAUCCCCAGUCAGGACA